rnacentral:rRNA from 1 species
CAAUAGCGUAUAUUAAAGUUGUUGCGGUUAAAAAGCUCGUAGUUGGAUUUCUGCCGAGGACGACCGGUCCGCCCUCUGGGUGUGUAUCUGGUUUGGCCUGGGCAUCUUCUUGGAGAACGUAGCUGCACUUGACUGUGUGGUGCGGUGUCCAGGACUUUUACUUUGAGGAAAUUAGAGUGUUUCAAGCAGGCACACGCCUUGAAUACAUUAGCAUGGAAUAAUAAGAUAGGACCUCGGUUCUAUUUUGUUGGUUUCUAGAGCUGAGGUAAUGAUUAAUAGGGAUAGUUGGGGGCAUUCGUAUUUAACUGUCAGAGGCGAAAUUCUUGGAUUUGUUAAAGACGGACUACUGCGAAAGCAUUUGCCAAGGAUGUUUUCAUUGA